UAUGUCCUGAGAGUGUAAAUUUGGAACGAAUCGAUACCAACGUUCACAAGAACCAAAACCGGAAGAACGUUAGACUACUCAGUUGAGCCCUAACAGUAUGACAUUGCAACUAGUACUUUUUCUCAUUCAAUCGAACAAAGAGUAAAACCUAAUUAUAUUGUUCUAUUACAUCCCGAGAGUGUAAAUUUGGAACGAAUCGAUAUCAACGUUCACAAGAACCAAAACCGAAACAACAUUAGACUACUCUGUUGCGCCAUAACCGUAUAACGUUGCACUGAGUACUUUUUCUAAUUCUAUCGAACAAGGAGUAAAAGCUUUCUAUUACGCCCCAAGAGUGUAAAUUUGGAACGAAUCGAUAUCAACCUUCACAAGAACAAAAACCGGAACAAUGUUAGCCUACUCUGUUGAGCCCCAACAGUAUAACUUUGCAACUAGUAUUUUUUCUUAUUCAAUCGAACAAAGAGCAAAACCUAAUUAUAAUGUUCUAUUAUACCCCGAGAGUGUAAAUUUAGAACGAAUCGAUGUCAACGUUCACAGGAACCAAAACCGGAACAACAUUAGACUACUCAGUUGCGCCAUAACAGUAUAACAUUACGGCGAGUACUUUUUCUCGUUCAAUCGAAUAAAGCGUAAAACCUAAUAAUUUUGUUCUAUUAUAUCCCGAGAGUGUAAAUUUGCAACGAAUCGAUGUCAACAUUCACAGGAACCAAAACAGGAACAACAUUAGACCACUUUGUUGCGCCAUAACAGUAUAACUUUGGAACGAGUACUUUUUCUCAUUUUAUCGAACGAGGAGUAAAAGCUUUCUAUUAUGCCCCGAGAGUGUAAAUUUCGGACGAAUCGUUGCCAACGUUAACAAAAACCAAAACCGGAAGAACGUUAGGCUACUCAGUUGAGCCCGAACAGUAUGACAUUGCAACUAGUACUUUUUCUCAUUCAAUCGAACAAAGUGAAAAACCUAAUUAUAUUGUUCUAUUAUACCCCGAGAGUAUAAAUUUGGAACAAAUCGAUGUCAACGUUCACAAGAACCAAAACCGGAACAACAUUAGACUACUCAGUUACGUCUUAACAGUUCUACUUUGUAACGAGUACUUUUUCUAAUUCUAUCGAAUAAGGAGAAAAAGCUUUCUAUUAUGCCCCGAGAGCGUAAAUUUGAAACGAAUCGCUGUCAACGUUCACAAGAACUAAAACCGGAACAACAUUAGACUACUCAGUUGAGCCCUAAUAGUAUAACUUUGCAACUAGUAUUUUUUCUCAUUCAAUCGAACAAAGAGCAAAACCUAAUUAUAUUGUUCUAUUAUACCCGGAGAGUUUUAAUUUGGAACGAAUCGAUGUCAACGUUAACAAGAACCAAAACCAGAACAACAUUAAACAACUCAGUUGCGCCAUAAUGGUAUAACUUUGCAACGAGUACUUUUUCUUAUUCUAUCGAACAAGGAGUAAAAGCUUUUUAUUAUGCCCCGAGAGUGUAAAUUUGGAACGAAUCGAUGUCAACGUUCACAAGAACCAAAACCGGAACUACAUUAGACUACUCAGUUGCGCCAUAACAGUAUAACUUUGCGACGAGUACUUUUUCUCGUUCAAUCGAAUAAAGCGUAAAACCUAAUAAUUUUGUUCUAUUAUGCCUCGAGUGUGUAAAUUUGGAACUAAUCGAUGUCAACGUACACAAGAAUCAAAACCGGAACAACAUUAGACUACACUAUUGCGCCAAAAAAGUAUAACUUUGUAAUGAGUACUUUUUCUCAAUCAACCGAACAAGGAGUAAAAGCCUUCUAUUAUGCCCCAAGGGUGUAAAUUUGGAACGAAUCGAUAUCAGCGUUCACAAGAACCAAAUCCGAAAUAACGUUAGACAACUCAGUUGAGCCCUAACAGUAUAACAUUGCAAUUAGUCCUUUUUCUCAUUCAAUCGAACAAAGAGUAAAACCUAAUAAUAUUGUUCAAGCCCUGAGAGUGUAAAUUUAGAACGAAUCGAUGUCAACGUUCACAAGAACAAAAAUCGGAACAUCAUUAGACUACUGAGUUGCGCCCUAACAGUAUAACAUUACGACGAGUACUUUUUCUCGUUCAAUCGAAUAAAGCGUAAAACCUAAUAAUAUUGUUCUAUUAUGCCCCGAGAGUGUAAAUUUGGAACGAAUCGAUAUCAACGUUCACAGGAACCAAAACAGGAACAACAUU
rnacentral:lncRNA from 1 species